GUUGUGCGUGGCCGAGCGGUUAAGGGCGAUGGACUAGAAAUCCAUUGGGGUCUCCCCGCGCGGGUUCAAAUCCUGCCGCAACG
rnacentral:tRNA from 1 species